ACAUGCCUACAACAUAGCAUUAAUGCAUCAGAUCCCAUUAGAACUCUGCAGUUAAGCAUGCUCGAGCUAGAGUAGCACUGGGAUGGGUGACUCCCGGGAAGUCCUAGUAUUUUACAUGCC
rnacentral:rRNA from 1 species